rnacentral:rRNA from 1 species
UACGGAGGGGGCUAGCGUUGUUCGGAAUUACUGGGCGUAAAGCGCACGUAGGCGGCUUUGUAAGUUAGAGGUGAAAGCCCAGGGCUUAACCCUGGAAUUGCCUUUAAGACUGCAUCGCUAGAAUCGUGGAGAGGUGAGUGGAAUUCCGAGUGUAGAGGUGAAAUUCGUAGAUAUUCGGAAGAACACCAGUGGCGAAGGCGACUCACUGGACACGUAUUGACGCUGAGGUGCGAAAGCGUGGGGAGCGAACGGG